rnacentral:rRNA from 1 species
GGGGCACCCUGGCGGCGAGCGGCGAACGGGUGAGUAACACAUCGGAACGUACCCUAUCGUGGGGGAUAACGAAUCGAAAGAUUCGCUAAUACCGCAUACGACCUGAGGGUGAAAGCGGGGGAUCGCAAGACCUCGCGCGAUUGGAGCGGCCGAUGUCGGAUUAGCUAGUUGGUGGGGUAAAGGCUCACCAAGGCGACGAUCCGUAGCUGGUCUGAGAGGACGACCAGCCACACUGGAACUGAGACACGGUCCAGACUCCUACGGGAGGCAGCAGUGGGGAAUUUUGGACAAUGGGGGCAACCCUGAUCCAGCCAUUCCGCGUGAGUGAAGAAGGCCUUCGGGUUGUAAAGCUCUUUCGGCAGGAACGAAACGGUGGAGGCUAAUACCUUUCAUCAAUGACGGUACCUGAAGAAGAAGCACCGGCUAACUACGUGCCAGCAGCCGCGGUAAUACGUAGGGUGCGAGCGUUAAUCGGAAUUACUGGGCGUAAAGCGUGCGCAGGCGGCUUUGUAAGACAGGUGUGAAAUCCCCGGGCUUAACCUGGGAACUGCGCUUGUGACUGCAAGGCUCGAGUGUGGCAGAGGGGGGUGGAAUUCCACGUGUAGCAGUGAAAUGCGUAGAGAUGUGGAGGAGCACCGAUGGCGAAGGCAGCCCCCUGGGUCAACACUGACGCUCAUGCACGAAAGCGUGGGUAGCAAACAGGAUUAGAUACCCUGGUAGUCCACGCCCUAAACGAUGCCAACUAGGUGUUGGGGAAGGAGACUUCCUUAGUACCGUAGCUAACGCGUGAAGUUGGCCGCCUGGGGAGUACGGUCGCAAGAUUAAAACUCAAAGGAAUUGACGGGGACCCGCACAAGCGGUGGAUGAUGUGGAUUAAUUCGAUGCAACGCGAAAAACCUUACCUA